GCAGCGAUGGCCGAGUGGUUUAAGGCGUUUGACUUAAGUGGCACUUAACUUAAGUAUUCAAAUACACGCAAGUGUGCGUGGGUUCGAACCCCACUCGCUGCA